CUAAAAUCAAUCGAGCUCUCUCUUCUUUCUCUUUCCCAAACCCUAAAUAAAUAAAAGGAUUAGGUCUUUUGGCGUGACAUUUGAGAUAAAUGGCCCAGAGUUCUUCAUUCUCUUUGAUACAGUAAACACAAAAUUAUCAAUCUUUAAAUUCCACCAUUCACUCAAACAUCAACACCGAAAUAGGAAAACAGUAUAGGCUGAACUCCUCGCGGCGGCGGCAGAUCGUGAUUGGUGCUAUGGGUCACGAGCAGCUGACAGCGGUGGUGUGGGGAUGGCCGAGAAUGGAUCGAAGUAGGAUGCGUCAACGUCGGAGAAGGGGCUUCGCCGGAUCUAAACCAGAGCGGUGCUGGCCGUGUGAUGGGGUGAGAACGAGUUGCGAUUCAAUAGUGGUGAAUCGUUGUUCGCUGAAGGUGAUGUCGCUGGAGUUCGGUUGCGAAAUUGCUGAAGGUCGUCGCGGCGGAUACAGGAGGGAGUGAUGGCUGUUCCGGCGUGGUGUUGGAGCCGUGGAUACUGUUGCAGUUAGAUGAAGAUUUGCAGAGAGCCAGAUGUAUUGUUGUUGAUGGUGAUGCUUCUUCGCUUCUUCUAGGACAUGCUCACGGGAAGUUUCUGAGGAUGUUUUUGGGUCCUAUUAAUGUUCGUGCAUCUCGUAAGGAUGUGCAGCUUAAGGAUUACAAGUAUGUGAGGAUACUUGGUGCUUUUUAUUUGCAACUUACUGGAUCUGAUACUGAUGUGUACCAUUAUCUGGAACCAUUCUAUAAUGAUUAUAGAAAACUGAGGCGAAAGUUAGCUGAUGGACGUAAGUUUUUGAAUGUUAUUGUGACCUAAAAAUUAUGAUUGUGUUUUGUAUUCUACUUGCAAUGUAAUUAUCUAUUACCUAUUUGUUAAGGUUUUGUGUUGCUCUUGAUUUUGCAUAGUUUAGUUUAACGCAUGUUGACGAGGUCAUUGAUGAACUUCUCACAACAGAUUAUACAUGUGAUAUUGCUAUGUCGCGCAUCAAGAAAAGGUAUUGUUUUAUUGUUCUUUCUCUUUUCUCUAUUGGAACAAUAGCAUAUGAUGUUACAACUGUAUAUUGCAGAAAUCAUUUUUAAAACUUAUGAUUAUUUAAUGAACUUCCAAACCUCGAGUUCAGACUUCAGAGAUCCAACACAGAAAAUGGAUGCAAAAUCUUCAUUUUCCCUUGUUCUUUUCAUUGCACUAUCAAACCACAGUUUUAAAUUUGUGGUCAUAACCAAACCGCGGCUAUAUCUUGAACCAAAACUGUAUGUUAAACGUUAAAUUGAAACCGCGGCUUUAUCAUAUAGCCACAGUUUUGCAGUCAUGGCAAAUACAAACCGCGGCCUUAAUCAAGCUACCUAAACCGUGGCCUAACAAAGCUACGGUUGUCAAAAAGGCGUGGUCUAUACCAAAAAACCGUGGACUUUACUUUAGGCCACGGCCGCAUACUCCACAGUUGGAUUUCCGUGGCCAAACUGUGGCCUCAGCGUUACGCCACGGUUAUUUUGCAUAUAGCCUCGGUUUUCUGGGCGUGGCAGGAGGUCUUUUUUCCUGUAGUGAGAAGAAAGGCGUGAAAAAUGGUUUAAACAGUGGAAAUACGAGAAAAUUCGCAAGUCAUAUUUGGAAGGUGAUAUGAGCUAAGUUCCCGCGUUGUCUUGACUGUUUCGACGAUAUCUACAACUUUCGUGUUCGGCCCGGAAGCCAAUUCUUUGAGGAAGGUUGCCAGAUUUGCAAAUUACUUGAGGUUUCAUAGUGAAAAACAAUGCUGAAUGUAGGGUUUCGGACCUCGGAAAAUUCAUAUCUACCAAUCCGCUCGUCGGAUUCACUUGAAAAUUUAACUGGAGCUCCGUACCAUCAUUACCAAGAUUUCAUAUGUUCGGACCGAAGGCCAAUUAUGUACGGAAAAUUCCCAGAAUUUUAAGGAUUGUCGCGUUGUUUCGGUAAAAAGUGUGUUUUUGAGUAUGUCGCGCCGAGUUUGAAAAUUCAUAACUUCUUCGAUUUUUAUCGUAUGAAGUCCAUUCCGGAGGCAUUUUCUCGGAAAUUUCGUUAGCUUCGUUUCUUCGUCACACAUGCCCGUUCAGAUUUUGAGCCGAAGAUAGGGUUUCAUCGAGUUCUUUGAGCGGUACUCACAAAAUUCUGCACAGUCGCACCAGAUGAAUCGGCGUUUCUCGCCAUUCAAACGCGCGUAUUUUCUUCAUCGUUUAUCGGAUUGAGACGAUUCUCGCGGCAACGAGUCAAGAAUUUGGUCAUCUUCACAGUGGCAUUAGUUUCGUUUCAGAAUUCAGAGCCGAACCGAGUUUCCUUAAAAACGAGCCAAAAUGAGACGCACCGAGGGCAAUUUGGACAUUUUGCGUUAACAAUAUAUAAACAUUUUGCUCUUCACAAAUCAAAGGGAGAACUCUCACAAUUUCAAUUCACCAAUACUUCACCAACACAUUCUCUCAAUUCUCUCUCAAUUCUCUUGGAUCAAAACCACAAAUUACAUAAAACUUUCAUCAAUAUUCAUCAAAUUUCAUCAAGAUCAAGAACAUGGAUUGAGGAAUCAAGGAUCAAAGUUCGAAUUUCUCUUCCUAUCUCCACAUAGAGUGGCGCGCCUCUCUCUCUCUCCCUCAUUCCGGAUUUCGUUUUCGAGUUCGUGUCGUGUUCGCGUUCGUAUCGUGAUCGUGUUCGUGUUCGCGCUUCGGUUCGGAUCUUCAUCCGGUAAGCCUUGAACCUUGAAUUAAGUGCUUAAUUGUUGAUUAUAUGUGAAUUCAAAUCUAGAUCUACCUCUUGUUCUUGAUUAAUGGAUGAUUGAUGAUGAUUGAUCGGUGAAUUUGCGUAUUUUUUGCUCGAAUUGAUCGUGUUCAUGUGGAUUAUGUUUAGAAUUGAUGUUCAUUGCAUGUAAUUGAUAUCCGUUGAUGAUGAAUUGUGUUACUUGUGUUUGAAUCUGUGAUUUGUCGGUGAUUUUGUGUGUAUAAUUGUUGUUGAUAAUUUGUGUUGCUUGCGAUGUACUCAACGUGUUCGUAUAAAUGCAUAUGCCAUAUUCUCGAUUGAUAUUUGCUUUGUUUGACGCAUCGCACUUGGCAUAAUUGUUGACAUGUGGAUAGUUUGAUGUGUGAAUGCAUGUAUACCACGAUAUUUGAUGUUUGUUUGUGAUUAAUCUCGAGUUGGUACGUUUUUGGAUUGAGUGCGAAUGGCUCUAAGGUUCCAAAAUGUGCAAAAUUCUGUUUUUAUACGCCGGGAACCGGGUUGUCCCAGGCGGGAACCGGUUCCCACUCAAUCCAAAAUGGCCAUUCUCUGUGUUUUUGUACCAGGAACCGGGUUGUCCCUAGGUGGGAACCGGUUCCCAGCUUCCUGAAUUUUUGACUCUCUGGCUUUUUGUAUGGGGAACCAGGUUGUCCCUAGGUGGGAACCGGUUCCCAGCGUGCUAAUUUGGCCUUUCUCUGUGUUUUUGUACCAGGAACCGGGUUGUCCCUAGGUGGGAACCGGUUCCCAGUUUUCCAAAAUGUUGCCUCUCUGGUAUUUUGUACCAGGAACCGGGUUGUCCCUAGGUGGGAACCGGUUCCUGUGUGUUAUUUUUGUGUUUUAUUUUCUAACUUCAAACUUUCGUAUCUCUUUACUCGUAACUCCGAUUUGCAUGUUCUUUAUAUCGUUG